AAAAGUUUUGACUAUUUGACUUUUAGUCUAUCCAAUUCCAAAUCUCCCUUCUUUCUGCAAAUUCUAUCCGAGGAUAAACCCCUUUGGCGGAAACAUUUCUUCUGCCUUCACUCACAAAUCGCAAUCUCUGCAAUUCACCUCACCGCCUCAGAGUUUAUCUUGUGUGCGUGUGUGCUGUUGUUUGUGAGAAGAUGGGUUUAGUGGGAAUUUCUUGCUUGCUUGAUGCGUAGAAGAUGGCAUUAGCAACAUUUCAGCUGCGGGGCUCUUGUAGCAGUUUCCCUUGUGUGCCCACAGCACGGUGCAGAGGGAGCCAACUAAAAUACCUUUUGGCCCAGUCCCAGUCCCAGUCCCACGAGUUGGGAGAAAAGAUAGUCUGAGCUCCUUAAAAUGCAGAUCCUGUUCAAGUGGAGGAGCUUCUUUUAUUCUUGGACCAAAGUCCAAAAUAUCUAAAAUAUCAACUUUCAAAGGUGGAAAUCGACAUGAUGAUCUGAGUGGCAGAGCUAAUGACUCCUCCAAAUCCCUAAAGAAUCCUCUUAAAGUUUCUUAUUUACAACAUGAGAGUGAAGAGUCCUUCGUGGAAUCUUCAAAGGCACAUAAUGUUGUGCCUGCCCCUUAUACAGCAGAAGAUGAGAGAAAAACCAGGUCCUUAGCUAUACAAAAUCUCUUUAAGAACUGGUUGAUGUUACUGCGUACCCCACUAGGAACACAACCAGUGGAGAGAACUCUCGAAGAACCUUCUGAGGGAAUCUCAGAAGAGUCAAAUGUCGUGCAAAAUAAUGAAAGACAUGAAGUUUUUAAGGCAGCUUGGUGCUACUUUUUGAGCUUGGAUCCAACAAUAAAGAUACCAUUUUUAAUGUUCACACCACUGUACCUGGCAGUAAACCUUGUAUAUGGAUCAGAAGUAUCUAAAGAAUUAACUCCCCUAUGGAUUCUUGGACCAUUAGUUGCGGCUCUCUAUGUGAAGAUGCUCCGAGGAAUAUGCAGCCUCUAUGUGUUCAGCUUCACGCAAACUGUCAGAAUAGUCAAGAACCUGCCGGCCUACUACAUGCUGGUAUACGAGUACCUUUUCCGUGGGAAGCUAAAAGAAGCCAUGCAGAAAUAUGUAUGGCAACCUCUCGUUGACAUAAAAAAUAUGGACUACAAAGAGGUGACCAAGAGGAAAUUGAAGGGUUUCCAAGGGUGGUUGGUGGAGAAAUACCAGGAUUUUGUUGAAUCCAUAUGGCCGUAUUACUGCAGAACAAUCAGGUUUUUGAAGAGGGCCAAUCUAAUAUAGCUCCAACUCCUCUUUAAGAGAUAUGUCCAAACGGCAUGACAUUGUUAUCUUGGUUUCCCGUGGCUUAGCUCCUUACUUUAAGGUGAAUUAUCCAUGGAGGUCCCUCCGUUAAGCCCCUUUUUGAAUUGGGGUUCUUCCCUCGACGGAUUGGAGACAUGUAGGGAUGUGAUUGCUUGUAUUCCACAUCUCCUUUUCCCACUGGCGCGGGCACAUUCUUGGUUAGGUUGUUUUGUGGCAGUAUCAGUCUGUGCCUUAGUAAUGGUUUUUUUCCUUCUAUAUUAACAUAUUUCUGAUUAUCUGAAUCUGUUCUGAAUACAUCUGAGUUUUCCUAUCAGCAGUUAUAGAAAGAUCCCAUUAUUCAUUCA